GGCAGUCAGUGGGAGAGAGGAUUUCCGUACAGACAUGUCCUGAGAGUCACUGUGAGUGGGGACACCAUAACCACCGCGGGCAGCUCUGAUAUGACAUACAGGAUUGUUACUGCUUUACUAACUAUAGUGACAUGGAAACAAAUCCCCUAACCCACAACUAAUGUAUCCACCUACCUUAUAUAGAGACCUACCUUAUAUAGAGACCUGCCUUCUGUAUCCACCUACCUUAUAUAGAGACCUACCUUAUAUAGAGACCUACCUUCUGUAUCCACCUACCUAAUAUAGAGACCUGCAUUAUAUAGAGACCUACCUUCUGUAUCCACCUACCUUAUAGAGAGACCUACCUUAUAUAGAGACCUACCUUCUGUAUCCACCUACCUUAUAUAGAGACCUACCUUCUGUAUCCACCUACCUUAUAUAGAGACCUACCUUCUGUAUCCACCUACCUUAUAUAGAGACCUACCUUAUAUAGAGACCUACCUUCUGUAUCCACCUACCUUAUAUAGAGACCUACCUUAUAUAGAGACCUACCUUCUGUAUCCACCUACCUUAUAUAGAGACCUACCUUAUAUAGAGACCUACCUUCUGUAUCCACCUACCUUAUAUAGAGACCUACCUUAUAUAGAGACCUACCUUAUAUAGAGACCUACCUUCUGUAUCCACCUACCUUAUAUAGAGACCUACCUUAUAUAGAGACCUACCUUCUGUAUGCACCUACCUUAUAUAGAGACCUACCUUCUGUAUGCACCUACCUUAUAUAGAGACCUACCUUCUGUAUGCACCUACCUUAUAUAGAGACCUGCCUUCUGUAUCCACCUACCUUCUAUAAAGACCUGCCUUCUGUAUCCACCUACCUUCUAUAGAGACCUACCUUCUGUAUCCACCUACCUUAUAUAGAGACCUACCUUCUGUAUCCACCUACCUUAUAUAGAGACCUACCUUCUGUAUCCACCUACCUUCUGUAUCCACCUACCUUCUGUAUCCACCUACCUUCUGUAUCCACCUACCUUAUAGAGAGACCUACCUUAUAUAGAGACCUACCUUCUGUAUCCACCUACCUAAUAUAGAGACCUGCAUUAUAUAGAGACCUACCUUCUGUAUCCACCUACCUUAUAUAGAGACCUACCUUAUAUAGAGACCUACCUUCUGUAUCCACCUACCUUAUAUAGAGACCUACCUUAUAUAGAGACCUACCUUCUGUAUCCACCUACCUUAUAUAGAGACCUACCUUAUAUAGAGACCUGCCUUAUAUAGAGACCUGCCUUCUGUAUCCACCUACCUUAUAUAGAGACCUACCUUCUAUAGAGACCUACCUUCUGUAUCCACCUACCUUCUAUAGAGACCUACCUUCUGUAUCCACCUACCUUCUAUAGAGACCUACCUUCUAUAUCCACCUACCUUCUAUAGAGACCUACCUUCUGUAUCCACCUACCUUCUAUAGAGACCUACCUUCUGUAUCCACCUACCUUCUAUAGAGACCUACCUUCUGUAUCCACCUACCUUCUAUAGAGACCUACCUUCUGUAUCCACCUACCUUCUAUAGAGACCUACCUUCUGUAUCCACCUACCUUAUAUAGAGACCUACCUUCUGUAUCCACCUACCUUCUAUAGAGACCUACCUUCUGUAUCCACCUACCUUCUAUAGAGACCUACCUUCUAUAGAGACCUACCUUCUGUAUCCACCUACCUUCUAUAGAGACCUACCUUCUGUAUCCACCUACCUUAUAUAGAGACCUACCUUCUGUAUCCACCUACCUUAUAUAGAGACCUACCUUCUGUAUCCACCUACCUUAUGAGAGAGACCUACCUUCUGUAUCCACCUACCUUAUAUAGAGACCUACCUUAUAUAGAGACCUGCCUUCUGUAUCCACCUACCUUAUAUAGAGACCUACCUUAUAUAGAGACCUGCCUUCUGUAUCCACCUACCUUAUAUAGAGACCUACCUUAUAUAGAGACCUGCCUUCCUGCCUUCUGUAUCCACCUACCUUAUAUAGAGACCUACCUUCUAUAGAGACCUACCUUCUGUAUCCACCUACCUUCUAUAGAGACCUACCUUCUGUAUCCACCUACCUUCUAUAGAGACCUACCUUCUGUAUCCACCUACCUUCUAUAGAGACCUACCUUCUGUAUCCACCUACCUUAUAUAGAUACCUACCUUCUGUAUCCACCUACCUUCUAUAGAGACCUACCUUCUAUAGAGACCUACCUUCUAUAGAGACCUACCUUCUAUAGAGACCUACCUUCUAUAGAGACCUACCUUCUGUAUCCACCUACCUUCUAUAGAGACCUACCUUCUGUAUCCACCUACCUUAUAUAGAGACCUACCUUCUGUAUCCACCUACCUUAUAUAGAGACCUACCUUCUGUAUCCACCUACCUUAUAUAGAGACCUACCUUCUAUAGAGACCUACCUUCUGUAUCCACCUACCUUAUAUAGAGACCUACCUUCUAUAGAGACCUACCUUCUGUAUCCACCUACCUUCUAUAGAGACCUACCUUCUCCACCUACCUUAUAUAGAGACCUACCUUCUGUAUCCACCUACCUUAUAUAGAGACCUACCUUCUGUAUCCUACCUAAUAUAGAGACCUACCUUCUGUAUCCACCUACCUUCUAUAGAGACCGGCCUUCUGUAUCCACCUACCUUCUGUAUCCACCUACCUUAUAUAGAGACCUACCUUCUGUAUCCACCUACCUUCUGUAUCCACCUACCUUCUAUAGAGACCUACCUUCUGUAUCCACCUACCUUGCUUGUACCUGAGUUAGUGUUAGCUAGGCACCCAUAUUUAGAUAUAUUUAUAGUUCUAUAUUAGGUACUUCUACAGGGAGUGCAGAAUUAUUAGGCAAGUUGUAUUUUUGAGGAUUAAUUUUAUUAUUGAACAACAACCAUGUUCUCAAUGAACCCAAAAAACUCAUUAAUAUCAAAGCUGAAUAUUUUUGGAAGUAGUUUUUAGUUUGUUUUUAGUUUUAGCUAUGUUAGGGGGAUAUCUGUGUGUGCAGGUGACUAUUACUGUGCAUAAUUAUUAGGCAACUUAACAAAAAACAAAUAUAUACCCAUUUCAAUUAUUUAUUAUUACCAGUGAAACCAAUAUAACAUCUCAACAUUCACAAAUAUACAUUUCUGACAUUCAAAAACAAAACAAAAACAAAUCAGUGACCAAUAUAGCCACCUUUCUUUGCAAGGACACUCAAAAGCCUGCCAUCCAUAGAUUCUGUCAGUGUUUUGAUCUGUUCACCAUCAACAUUGCGUGCAGCAGCAACCACAGCCUCCCAGACACUGUUCAGAGAGGUGUACUGUUUUCCCUCCUUGUAAAUCUCACAUUUGAUGAUGGACCACAGGUUCUCAAUGGGGUUCAGAUCAGGUGAACAAGGAGGCCAUGUCAUUAGAUUUUCUUCUUUUAUAACCUUUCUUGCCAGCCACACUGUGGAGUACUUGGACGCGUGUGAUGGAGCAUUGUCCUGCAUGAAAAUCAUGUUUUUCUUGAAGGAUGCAGACUUCUUCCUGUACCACUGCUUGAAGAAGGUGUCUUACAGGAACUGGCAGUAGGACUGGGAGUUGAGCUUGACUCCAUCCUCAACCCGAAAAGGCCCCACAAGCUCAUCUUUGAUGAUACCAGCCCAAACCAGUACUCCACCUCCACCUUGCUGGCGCCUGAGUCGGACUGGAGCUCUCUGCCCUUUACCAAUCCAGCCACGGGCCCAUCCAUCUGGCCCAUCAAGACUCACUCUCAUUUCAUCAGUCCAUAAAACCUUAGAAAAAUCAGUCUUGAGAUAUUUCUUGGCCCAGUCUUGACGUUUCAGCUUGUGUGUCUUGUUCAGUGGUGGUCGUCUUUCAGCCUUUCUUACCUUGGCCAUGUCUCUGAGUAUUGCACACCUUGUGCUUUUGGGCACUCCAGUGAUGUUGCAGCUCUGAAAUAUGGCCAAACUGGUGGCAAGUGGCAUCGUGGCAGCUGCACGCUUGACUUUUCUCAGUUCAUGGGCAGUUAUUUUGCGCCUUGGUUUUUCCACACGCUUCUUGCGACCCUGUUGACUAUUUUGAAUGAAACGCUUGAUUGUUCGAUGAUCACGCUUCAGAAGCUUUGCAAUUUUAAGAGUGCUGCAUCCCUCUGCAAGAUAUCUCACUAUUUUUGACUUUUCUGAGCCUGUCAAGUCCUUCUUUUGACCCAUUUUGCCAAAGGAAAGGAAGUUGCCUAAUAAUUAUGCACACCUGAUAUAGGGUGUUGAUGUCAUUAGACCACACCCCUUCUCAUUACAGAGAUGCACAUCACCUAAUAUGCUUAAUUGGUAGUAGGCUUUCGAGCCUAUACAGCUUGGAGUAAGACAACAUGCAUAAAGAGGAUGAUGUGGUCAAAAUACUCAUUUGCCUAAUAAUUCUGCACUCCCUGUAUUCCAUUUAGGCAUUGUUUGUAAUUAAGCUGAAUGUUUAUACCAGGGGUAGGCCAUCUACGGCACUAGUGCCAUGCACGGCACUCAAGGCUGCUAGAGCCAAACAGGCUCUGGCCUAUCAGGAGUCCCAGUAAAACUUCAAAUAUCUAAUACGAAAAGAUGGUGAAGGACAAUCCUCAAUUUAAGCAUUGCAGCACAUCUCGGCUCACUUCCUCCAAGCACUUGUGAAUGGGAAUCCACACCGUAGUAGAGAAGCCAACCAUACUGCUAGAUAUACACCGAUAUUGUGGAUCAAACCAAGUGUUUAUCUGAGUAUCUGCUCCUUUCCAAAUUGUUAAAAUAAAUGCGUGCAUGCUCUGAAGUAAAUCACACUGAGACACAGGUAUCAGGUUAAUGAAAAACUUUGGAAUGUUUACUCGGGGAGUAAAGCCCCCUAUAAAGGCAAAAAUGUAGAUAACAGAGAGAAUACAUCUUUAAUUGGUUAGGUGUUAAGUGUCUUAUCUAAUGCACAUCCUACGAGGCGUGAUGUCACCAUCAUCCUGGGAUUUUACUCCGGAUGUAGGCGCCAUCUUGUUACACGAGGUAGUUAAUCGGUGGGAGGGGGUGCUCUAGCAGCUAUUUUGAGUAGAUAUUGAAUACAGGUAUACACAGUAAAUAGACAUUUUACUAUCACUAAUUUACAUUCAUAACACAGAAAUGAAGAAUAACCCUCCCCUUAUACAAAUAAUACAAACAGCCCACACACAAACAUACACACAAUCUGCACAAACGUAAACCGCUAACAAUCCACAUACAUGCACACAACCCCACAUGCAGCCUCUCACAUUCAAUACCCCAAACAGCCCACACACACUACCAAACACGCAAUGUGACAUAUCCAUCCACACACAAUUCCACAAGCAGCCCUCAUACACAGCCCACAUUCAUAUGCAUCGUACACAAUACCAUAAACUACUAAUGAACAUAUACAAUAUAAUAGCUUAUAUACGCACAAAUACAAUGAUGCAAAGCAACUGCAGUAAAAAUAACACGCAGAAUACAGCAGCAUACACACCUCAAUUUAAAAAAAUAGGACCGGCAUGCCACGGGACUUCACAAUCCUAUAUCGGCACAGUGCUGCUAAAAGGUUGCCUACCCCUGGUCUAUACGGUGCCCUAUGCUUAUGUUUUCCUAAUAUUCCAUUUUGUCAUUAUUUGAACUUGGGCUAAGUGUGUAUAUUUUGAUCAUCAUCUUUAUUCUUUUGCUUUUGGAAGUGCUUGCAACCAGCAAAAUUAGUGAGUGUAGGGUACACUCUAGGCAAUGUUAUCACACAUUAAGGCUUUUUAAAUCAGAAUAAGCUGUCUGUAAGCUUACCUUCUUUUUCAGUCUGAUUUAUUUAUUUUUUUAUAUUGGUUGGCAAACGAACCUACUGUUUCUGAUAACAGACUAACAGAUGUUUUCCCAUAAUGUACGGUGUCGAUACAAUUCAAUAUUUUUCUCUGACAGUUGGCAGGUUGUGAGGAAAUCUAAAGACAAAACUUGAACCUCGCACUUGCUUUCACGAGGGACCAUUCAUUAUCUGUGCUGUAGAGGGGUCGGAUAACGCAGACCUGAAGGAAUUGACUUGUUGGUAUGCAAAGCCACUGUGUCAGGUA
rnacentral:lncRNA from 1 species